GAGAGCAGCUGCAAGCAAAAGAGGCGGGAAACGACGGCGGCGUUCUGCGCUCCUAUUGGCUGAGGCACAAGUGCUUGCCUGAGGGUGUGGUUGCAAAUGGUGUGCUUAGAGAGUGAAGUAGCAAGAGGGAUGUGGGCUGAGAAGGAGGUAUGGGAAAUUGGAGAGAAAUCAUCUUCGUACAUCCUUGGAGAGGAACUGAUGGAAAGGAGGAAAGCACUGGAGAGGUGGAGAAAGUAGGGGAAGAAGCUCUACAGAAAGGAAAGAAAGUAGAACACAGACAGAAACACUCAGCUGUAACGUAAAAUACAACUUGCAAAUAAACAUGUCAUGGUUUUAUCGUUUUC